GCAGGAGCAGCAGCAGCAGGAGGAGGAGCUGCAGCAGCAGCAAUAGGAGCAGCAGGAGCAGCAGCAGCAGUAGGAGCUGCAGCAGCAGUAGCAGCAGCAGUAGUCACACCAGUAGCAGCAGCAGCAGCAGCAACAGCAGUAGCAGCAGCAGCAGCAGCAGCAGCGGCAGCAGCAGAUCCCCUGAAGCUCAAGUGGGUACUGAGAGCAAAACUUACAUUUUUCUGCAAAAGCUCUUAACCCCUGAACCAUCUUUCCAGGCCCCACAGGUCUCUUCUUUGAUCACUCUCUACCUUAUAAACUGAGACAGGACCACUCACCUGAACCCAGAGCUUCUUGAUUCAGCUAAUCUAGCUAGUCAGCUUGCUCCAGGGAUCCUGACUGCACCUCCUGAGCACUGAGGUUAAUAGUGGCUCACAGAUGCCUCACAUCUGUGCAGGUCCUGAAGAUCAAAUUCUGAUCUUCACCCUAAGUAGUAGUUUGCACAGCAACUAUCUCCCCUCCCUAACCCGCUCCUGAGAGAUUUUUUUUUUUUUGAGCCAAACUUUUGACUGACUCACCUAUCUGUUUCAUUAGAAAAUCCUCCUAAACAGCUCUUUCUCCCUCCUCGGGAUUGGCUUUAUGGAAGAAUCUCCAGGGUAAGGAGAGGUGGACAUUACAGUUUUUUCUUCACUUUUACCUAGGUGUCACUCUUUCAUAUGCACAGAACUGACAUCAAAAGCAAUGAGCAGCACAAGGCUGCACAUUUCUUCAAGGUGACUUCCAGCACCUGCUCACAGAAGCAAUAUCAUAUAAAGAUGGGCAAAAAUACACAGGAUUGUAACAAAAAGAGGUGACUCAUCUCUGGAAAGGUUUCCCAACACAGAAGCCAGUGCAUCUUCAACAGGAACUGUGAACUCAUCUCCAUAUGACAGUUUAUCACAAGGGGUGUCUUUUCCUAGCACACCCACUUCCAAUAUGGUGUGCUUCCAAUACCCUUUUAGUAAGGGCUGGGAGAGGACUGUGGAUCAAACCCAGGGCCUUGAACAUGCUAGGCAAGCCCCCUACCACCAAGCAGUACCCCCACUCCGCCCCUUUCUCUCCUUUAUCUUUUUAUUUGGCUUUUAGAGAGCAGAUCUCACUAAGUAAACUCACCGGAUUGUGACCUACAAUACAGACACACACAAACACACACACACACCGUGGCCUCAGAGGUCCUGCUGCCUCUGUCUCCCAAGCGCUGGGAUUACAAAGGCACACCACGUUCCAGCAUACCCAGCUUUUCUUUUUCAAUCUCAAAACAUGAAAUGGAUUAUAUGUAUAGAAUAAAGUUUCAAAACCAUUUUCUCAUCUUUUCUUUAUUUGACAAAUACAGCACACACACAUACACACACACACACACACACACACACACACACACACCAGAACUGACACCUUAGAAAAAAGAAUUCUCUUUCCAAAAUGUUGCUAAAACUCUAAUUAUCACUUCUAAUAAAAACAUGAUAAAUGGCUAGCAUAGGCCAGUCCCCGCCAUGUAAUAUAAAAUUAUGGGUGGAGUUUUGGUUGUGUUAUGUUGUUGUUGUUGUUGCUGUUGUUGUUGUUACUGCUGCUGCUGCCAUUUCAUCUCUAUAUCAGCUUUUCUUAAAAUCCUCAUGAUCUAGGCUAAGUUAAAGCAAAACAAAAAUUAAAUACAAGCUUUAUUUAGAGAAACUGAUUUUAAAAAAUAAAAUUAUAAAGGGUGGUUAACAGUAGUCAGCUGUUAAACAGAGAGGCAGAGCAUGGACUGUGUAGUAAAUAAAUCCUCAUACUAAUAAUAUACUGCUUGCUAUCAUUUUGCACUGAGAAGAAAAUAAGAGGAAAGUAAACCCAUGUCAAAGCAGGAAAUAACUAUCACCGUGUGAAUACGUGUGGACCACUGUCUUAGGGUUUCUACUGCUGUGGUAAAGCAUCCUAACCAAGCAGAACAGCUCUCAGGUCCCUCCAUCACUACUUACCAGCUCGCUCACAAUGGGUUGAUGAGCACACUUUCCUGUAGCACCCAGAACUUACAGCACACAGUGUGCUGACCCCGACAGCAUCAGUUAUCGACCAAGAGAACUGCUGCACCGCAGGCCAAUCUGGUGGGAGCAUUUUCUCAAUUAAAGUUCCCUCUUCCAAAAUGAGUCUGGCUUGGGGGAAGCAGACAUAAAACCAGCUAACACAACACUGAUGCUAGGAAACUAAAUACACAGUUGUAUAGUGCCAUGAAACGAGUCCGUGCUUUAGCGUCUGAGAAACCUGAGGUCAAAUGCCAGCUUUGCUACUGGUUAGCGACUAUAAAGAAAUUGUAAUUAACCCAGGCUUCAAUUCUCCUGCUGUAAAGGUGUGGCAUCAUUCAGUACACAACAGAUUACAAAGAAGAUUAAAUAAGACACAACAUGCACAAAUUACAAAAAUUGGUACUUGAGUUCAACAAACAAACAAACAAACAAAAACCCACCUACCUGGUAGGAUUAAAC
rnacentral:lncRNA from 1 species